CAGUAGCCGCGGUAAUACGGAGGGGGCUAGCGUUGUUCGGAAUUACUGGGCGUAAAGCGCACGUAGGCGGCUUGGUAAGUUAGAGGUGAAAGCCUGGAGCUCAACUCCAGAAUUGCCUCUAAGACUGCCGAGCUAGCAGGUGAGAGAGGUAAGUGGAAUUCCGAGUGUAGAGGUGAAAUUCGUAGAUAUUCGGAAGAACACCAGUGGCGAAGGCGGCUUACUGGCUCAUACCGGACGCUGAGGCACGAAAGCGUGGGGAGCAAACAGGAUUAGAUACCCCAGUAGUCCCUGUCUCUUAUAC
rnacentral:rRNA from 1 species